rnacentral:rRNA from 1 species
GACGAACGCUGGCGGCGUGCUUAACACAUGCAAGUGGAGCGACGAACCAGGGCUUGCCCUGGGGCAAAGCCGCGAACGGGUGAGUAACACGUGGGUAACCUGCCCCGAUGACCGGGACAACCCGAGGAAACUCGGGCUAAUACCGGAUGAGCUCACGCCACAUCAGUGGCAUGAGGAAAGGAAGCUUCGGCCUCCGCAUUGGGAUGGGCCCGCGGCCCAUUAGCUUGUUGGGGGGUAAAGGCCUACCAAGGCUUCGAUGGGUAGCUGGUCUGAGAGGACGAUCAGCCACACUGGGACUGAGACACGGCCCAGACUCCUACGGGAGGCAGCAGUGGGGAAUCUUGCGCAAUGCGCGAAAGCGUGACGCAGCAACGCCGCGUGC